rnacentral:rRNA from 1 species
CAGUAGCCGCGGUAAUACGGAGGGUGCAAGCGUUAAUCGGAAUUACUGGGCGUAAAGCGUGCGUAGGCGGUGAGUUAAGUCUGCUGUGAAAUCCCCGGGCUCAACCUGGGAAUGGCAGUGGAUACUGGCUCGCUAGAGUGUGUCAGAGGAUGGUGGAAUUCCCGGUGUAGCGGUGAAAUGCGUAGAGAUCGGGAGGAACAUCAGUGGCGAAGGCGGCCACCUGGGACAACACUGACGCUGAGGCACGAAAGCGUGGGGAGCAAACAGGAUUAGAUACCCCCGUAGUCCCUGUCUCUUAUAC